UCGGGAAUUUUGGGCAAUGGGCGAAAGCCUGACCCAGCAACGCCGCGUGAAGGAUGAAGUAUUUCGGUAUGUAAACUUCGAAAGAAUAGGAAGAAUAAAUGACGGUACUAUUUAUAAGGUCCGGCUAACUACGUGCCAGCAGCCGCGGUAAUACGUAGGGACCAAGCGUUGUUCGGAUUUACUGGGCGUAAAGGGCGCGUAGGCGGCAAUUCAAGUCAUCUGUGAAAUCUCCGUGCUUAACUCGGAACGGUCAGAUGAUACUGCUUUGCUAGAGUGCAGAAGGGGCAAUCGGAAUUCUUGGUGUAGCGGUGAAAUGCGUAGAUAUCAAGAGGAACACCUGAGGUGAAGACGGGUUGCUGGGCUGACACUGACGCUGAGGCGCGAAAGCCAGGGGAGCAAACGGGAUUAGAUACCCGAGUAGUCCCUGAGCGGGCUGGCAAGGCGCAU
rnacentral:rRNA from 1 species